UCAACAACUCGCUUAUUCUUUUUCUUUUUCUGCUGUUGUGGUCUUGCAGAUGAUUCUUGAAACUUAUGGUUUCAAUUUUAGCAAUAAAACGUGAAAAUUAAGAUUCUUUAAAAACAAGAAAAAGAUCUUUACACAACCAAGUCCAAUCCUCUAAAUACGAGGAAAUUAUUAAUAAUAUAAAAGAACAUCCCAGUUAAGUUACUCAACCGUUUCAGAAUUUUCAUAUCUGAAAAUAAUCAUUCUCUGUUGAUCUUCUUCGGUGUUGCUCUUAAUGGUAUAAGCUUUCGAACGGUUAUUUCCCAUUCCUUCCUUCAUGUCUAUGGUCUGUGGAGUAGAACCGCUGCCAACCUCCCAGUCAAAACAGUGAAGCAAGGACGCUACAACAUGAUGAAGAACGCGGUGAGCCAUUGGGAUGCCUGGACAAAUUCUUCGUCCGGCACCAAAUGGUAAUAACUCGAAGUUUUGCCCUCCACUGUGACAAGCCGGCGAUGAAAUCGCCAUCUGGAGCCAUACUGGCCUAGAGAAACCGAUGACUGAUUGUAAUUAUGAGCUGUCUAGCAUUCAGGAACUUUCCGAUCACAAAAACUAAAAUCAUGAUUCUUGAACAGUUCUUCAGCUGCCUUGGCAGACUGUAUUACCAAGGUGUUAAUGGAACCAAGUCUUAACCAAAGUAUUGGUCCGUACUUGAAUCUAUAUUUGUACAAAUUCUGAUGCGGAGUGGUUCCAAGAUUGAAAAUAUUACCAAAGAUCAGCCAAGGCUUAGGCCCCGGUGGACGUAAUUUGGCACCGGAUUUUGAUUUCCUAUGUUUCAGCAGAAGAAACACAGUUGCCAAAAAUAGAAAACUAAACCAGGUAAACAAAUUACUGUAGCGCCACUCCAUUUCUGAGCUGCUAUCAGCUAUUUUUUAACUUCUUGAUUUGUACAAACAACUUUUUUUAUUCCCUCAUAAAUUCGUGUUACAUGUUUUCAAGGAGUCGAUCAAGUGGAGGCCCCAAAGGAAAUUAUCUUUUUUCUUUUUUUCUUUUUACUUUUCUUGUUUGGUUGUAUGUCUUGUCAUUGUGAAUUAUGAAGUUAGUAAAUAAUCUGAUUGAUUUUGCCCCA